rnacentral:lncRNA from 1 species
GUAUCAUUGGAUCAAAGAAUAUUCAGUGGGGACUAAGGAAUAAGAAGACUGGAAAGGUUGGAGGGGCUACAUUAUGAAGGGUGAAUACCAAACAGGCCAUUUUCUAUGUGAUCAUGGAGGCAAUAGGGAACUACUGGAGUUUAAUGAGAAGAGGAAGAAUGGUCAUGGUCAGAAUUGCACUUUGGGAAGAUUCAUUUGCCUUCUGAGUAGAGGAUGGGCUGAAGUGGGAAGAGAUUUGUGGCAAGGACAACCAGCAGCCUCUUGUAAUAGCUCAGACAUGAAGUGAUGAGGUUCCACCCCAGGGUGAUUGCAAUGUCAGAGGAAAGAAGGAGGUACACAUGAAAGAUGUUACAAAGAGAAAAUCAGCAGCACUUGGCAACAGAUUGGCUAUGACGACUUAAGAAUGGCUCUUAAUUUCAAUCCUGGGGGACUAGGAGGUUGCUGGUUAUCUCAACAGUAAUAGGAAAGUUUAGAAGGAGAAGUUUUGAGGUGAAGAUAUUAAAUUCAGUUUGGGGCAUGUUGAGCUUAAAAUGUUGUUAAGACAUCUACAAGGUAGUUGGAGAAGCAAGCCUGGGUGGCUAAGGCUUCAUACGACAGACGUCUCUCACUUUAUGAAAACUCACAUCAUGAAAGAACAAUCAGCAGGUUCCAGCUCCUGUUCUUGACAGGGGGUAGCUGAGGUAGCAGUAUUGGCAACAGCAGCACCAGUGCAGCCUGACACCAAUGGUCCUCUGCUCCAGGCUCUGAAAUCACUAUGCUUUUNUGAUCUCUUAGUUACCAAAUCCAACUCACCUUUUCUUAAUCUUCAUUCUCUUCAAUUUCUCUGAAGUCUUUGACACUGAUGAUUCUUGUCUCCUCCUUUAUUCUCUCUCUUACUCAGGUUUUCAAAUCACCACUCUAUCUUGGUUCUUUGCCUACAUAUCUAAAUACCCCUUCUCAAAGUCACCUUUGUUGGAGUCUCAUCCAUAUCUGGAGGAAGGAAGGAAGGAAGGAAGGAAGGAAGGAAGGAAGGAAGGAAGGAAGGAAGGAAGGAAGGAAGGCAGGGAGGGAAGGAGGGAGGAAGGAAGGAAGGAAGGAAGGAAGGAAGGAAGGAAGGAAGGAAGGAAGGAAGGAAGGAAGGAAGGAAGGAAGGAAGGAAGGAAGGAAGGAAGGAAGGAAGGAAGGCAGGGAGGUAGGGAAGGAGGGAGGAAGGAAGGAAGGAAGGAAGGAAGGAAGGAACGAAGGAAGGAAGGAAGGAACGAAGGACGGAAGGAAGGAAGGAAGGAAGGAAGGAAGGAAGGAAGGAAGGAAGCGAAGGACGCAAGCAAGGAAGGAAGGAAGGAAGGAAGGAAGGAAGGAAGGAAGGAAGGAAGGAAGGAAGGAAGGAAGGAAGGAAGGAAGGAAGGAAGGAAGGAAGGAGGGAAGGAGGGAAGGAGGGAAGAAAGAGAGAAAAUGA